AGCUCCAUUAGUGUAUAUUAAAGUUGUUGCGGUUAAAAGCUCGUAGUUGGAUAUCUGAAUUAGUUAGCCUGACCCAUGUUAAGUCUUUGAUUUAGCUUGUGUUUGUCGGAGCUGACUCGUUCAUCUAUUUCAAGUAUACAUCAUGUUUUGGCUUUAUUGCUAGAAUGUGAUGGAACACUUGAAUCGUUUACUUUGAAUAAAGGAGUAUGUUUAAAGUAGGCUAUACACGUCAUUGUAUUUUUUAGCAUGGAAUAAUAA
rnacentral:rRNA from 1 species